rnacentral:rRNA from 1 species
AUGAACGCUGGCGGCGUGCCUAAUACAUGCAAGUCGAGCGAACAGACGAGGAGCUUGCUCCUUCGACGUUAGCGGCGGACGGGUGAGUAACACGUAGGUAACCUACCUAUAAGACUGGGAUAACUUCGGGAAACCGGAGCUAAUACCGGAUAAUAUUUCGAACCGCAUGGUUCGAUAGUGAAAGAUGGCAUUGCUAUCACUUAUAGAUGGACCUGCGCCGUAUUAGCUAGUUGGUAAGGUAACGGCUUACCAAGGCAACGAUACGUAGCCGACCUGAGAGGGUGAUCGGCCACACUGGAACUGAGACACGGUCCAGACUCCUACGGGAGGCAGCAGUAGGGAAUCUUCCGCAAUGGGCGAAAGCCUGACGGAGCAACGCCGCGUGAGUGAUGAAGGUCUUCGGAUCGUAAAACUCUGUUAUUAGGGAAGAACAAACGUGUAAGUAACUGUGCACGUCUUGACGGUACCUAAUCAGAAAGCCACGGCUAACUACGUG